UAGAGUUUGAUCAUGGCUCAGGACGAACGCAGGCGGCGUGCCUAACACAUGCAAGUCGAACGGAUGUAGCAAUACAUUAGUGGCGAACGGGUGAGUAACACGUAAGCGACCUACCCUCAAGACUGGUACAACUAGUCGAAAGAUUGGCUAAUUCCAGAUGUGGUCACAGAAUUUCAUGGUUCUGUGAUUAAAUCCCGCAAGGGGCUUGAGGAUGGGCUUGCGGCCUAUCAGCUAGUUGGCGGGGUAACGGCCCACCAAGGCAAUGACGGGUAACUGGUCUGAGAGGACGACCAGUCACAAGGGAACUGAGACACGGUCCCUACUCCUACGGGAGGCAGCAGUGAGGAAUUUUCCGCAAUGGGCGAAAGCCUGACGGAGCGACGCCGUGUGUGGGAUGACGUUUUUCGGAAUGUAAACCACUGUCAGAGGGGAAGAUAUUGACGGUACCCUCAGAGGAAGGCCCGGCUAACUACGUGCCAGCAGCCGCGGUAAUACGUAGGGGCCAAGCGUUGUCCGGAAUUACUGGGCGUAAAGGGCGUGUAGGCGGUCUGGUAAGUCAGGUGUUAAAUCCACGGGCUCAACCCGUGGCUGCAUUUGAUACUGCCAAACUAGAGAGUGCUAGAGGAAAGCGGAACUUCCGGUGUAGCGGUGAAAUGCGUAGAUAUCGGAAGGAACACCAGUGGCGAAGGCGGCUUUCUGGGGCACUUCUGACGCUGAGACGCGAAAGCCAGGGGAGCAAACGGGAUUAGAUACCCCGGUAGUCCUGGCCGUAAACGAUGCCAACUGGGCGUUGGUGGUGAAAGCCAUCAGGGUCGGAGCGAACGCGGUAAGUUGGCCGCCUGGGGAGUACGACCGCAAGGUUAAAACUCAAAGGAAUUGACGGGGGCCCGCACAAGCAGCGGAGCGUGUGGUUUAAUUCGAGGCAACACGAAGAACCUUACCUGGGUUAGACAUCCACCUGGUAAUGAGAUGAAAGUCGAGUGACCCUUCGGGGAGGGUGGACAGGUGCUGCAUGGCUGUCGUCAGCUCGUGCCGUGAGGUGUUAGGUUAAGUCCUGUAACGAGCGCAACCCUUACAGCCAGUUACAAGUGUCUGGCAGGACUGCCGGUGUGAAGCCGGAGGAAGGUGGGGAUGACGUCAAGUCAGCAUGGCCUUUAUAUCCUGGGCUACACACACGCUACAAUGGAUACUACAGAGCGUUGCCAAGCCGCGAGGCGGAGCUAAUCGCACAAAAGUAUCCUCAGUUCAGAUUGCAGGCUGCAACUCGCCUGCAUGAAGUCGGAGUUGCUAGUAAACGCGCGUCAGCUAUAGUGCGUUGAAUGCGUUCCCGGGCCUUGUACUCACCGCCCGUCACGUCAUGGAAGUUGGUAACACCUGAAGUCGGUGACCGAACCGCAAGGACGGAGCCGCCGAGGGUGGGACUGAUAACUGGGACGAAGUCGUAACAAGGUAACCGUAA
rnacentral:rRNA from 1 species